CAGCCGCCGCGGUAAUACGAAGGGUGCAAGCGUUACUCGGAAUUACUGGGCGUAAAGCGUGCGUAGGUGGUGGUUUAAGUCCGUUGUGAAAGCCCUGGGCUCAACCUGGGAAUUGCAGUGGAUACUGGGUCACUAGAGUGUGGUAGAGGAUAGUGGAAUUUCCGGUGUAGCAGUGAAAUGCGUAGAGAUCGGAAGGAACAUCUGUGGCGAAGGCGACUAUCUGGGCCAACACUGACGCUGAGGUACGAAAGCAUGGGGAGCAAACAGGAUUAGAUACCCCAGUAGUCCCUGUCUCUUAUAC
rnacentral:rRNA from 1 species